rnacentral:rRNA from 1 species
CUACGGAGGGUGCAAGCGUUGUUCGGAAUUACAGGGCGUAAAGCGCGCGUAGGCGGUCUGUUAUGUCAGAUGUGAAAGUCCUCGGCUCAACCGGGGAAGUGCAUUUGAAACUGGCAGACUUGAGUACUGGAGGGGGUAGUGGAAUUCCCGGUGUAGAGGUGAAAUUCGUAGAUAUCGGGAGGAAUACCGGUGGCGAAGGCGACCACCUGGCCAGAUACUGACGCUGAGGUGCGAAAGCGUGGGGAGCAAACAGGAUUAGAAACCCCAGUAGUCC